ACGGGUGAGUAAUACAUCGGAACGUAUCCUGGAGUGGGGGAUAGCCCGGCGAAAGCCGGAUUAAUACCGCAUACGCUCUGAGGAGGAAAGCGGGGGACCUUCGGGCCUCGCGCUCAAGGGGCGGCCGAUGGCGGAUUAGGUAGUUGGUGGGGUAAAGGCCUACCAAGCCGACGAUCCGUAGCUGGUCUGAGAGGACGACCAGCCACACUGGGACUGAGACACGGCCCAGACUCCUACGGGAGGCAGCAGUGGGGAAUUUUGGACAAUGGGGGCAACCCUGAUCCAGCAAUGCCGCGUGUGUGAAGAAGGCCUUCGGGUUGUAAAGCACUUUUGUCCGGAAAGAAAUCAUCGGGGCCAAUACCCCUGGUGGAUGACGGUACCGGAAGAAUAAGCACCGGCUAACUACGUGCCAGCAGCCGCGGUAAUACGUAGGGUGCGAGCGUUAAUCGGAAUUACUGGGUGUAAAGCGUGCGCAGGCGGUGCUGUAAGACCGAUGUGAAAUCCCCGGGCUUAACCUGGGAACUGCAUUGGUGACUGCAGCGCUGGAGUAUGGCAGAGGGGGGGUGGAAUUCCACGU
rnacentral:rRNA from 1 species